AUUGAACGCUGGCGGAAUGCUUUACACAUGCAAGUCGAACGGCAGCACGGACUUCGGUCUGGUGGCGAGUGGCGAACGGGUGAGUAAUGUAUCGGAACGUGCCCAGUCGAGGGGGAUAACGUAGUGAAAAUUACGCUAAUACUGCAUACGAUCUAUGGAUGAAAGCGGGGGAUCGCAAGACCUCGCGCGAUUGGAGCGGGCGAUAUCAGAUUAGGUAGUUGGUGGGGGAAAGGCCCACCAAUCCAACGAGCUGUAGCUGGUCUGAGAGGACGACCAGCCACACUGGAACUGAGACACGGUCCAGACGCCUACGGGAGGCAGCAGUUGGGAAUUUUGGACAAUGGGCGAAAGCCUGAUCCAGCCAUUCCGCGUUCAGGAUGAAGGCCCUCGGGUUGUAAACUGCUUUUGUACAGAACGAAAAGGUUUCUACUAAUACUAGGAGCUCAUGACGGUACUGUAAGAAUAAGCACCGGCUAACUACGUGCCAGCCGCCGCAGUAA
rnacentral:rRNA from 1 species